rnacentral:rRNA from 1 species
CCUACGGGGGGCUGCAGUGGGGAAUAUUGGACAAUGGGCGCAAGCCUGAUCCAGCCAUGCCGCGUGAGUGAUGAAGGCCUUAGGGUUGUAAUGCUCUUUUAGCGGGGAAGAUAAUGACGGUACCCGCAGAAUAAGCCCCGGCUAACUUCGUGCCAGCAGCCGCGGUAAUACGAAGGGGGCUAGCGUUGUUCGGAAUUACUGGGCGUAAAGCGCACGUAGGCGGAUUGACAAGUCAGGGGUGAAAUCCCGGGGCUCAACCUCGGAACUGCCUUUGAUACUGUCAGUCUAGAGUCCGGAAGAGGUGGGUGGAAUUCCUAGUGUAGAGGUGAAAUUCGCAGAUAUUAGGAAGAACACCGGUGGCGAAGGCGGCCCACUGGUCCGGAACUGACGCUGAGGUGCGAAAGCGUGGGGAGCAAACAGGAUUAGAUACCCGGGUAGUC